UGGGGAAUAUUGCACAAUGGGGGAAACCCUGAUGCAGCCAUGCCGCGUGAAUGAUGAAGGUCUUAGGAUUGUAAAAUUCUUUCACCGGGGACGAUAAUGACGGUACCCGGAGAAGAAGCUCCGGCUAACUUCGUGCCAGCAGCCGCGGUAAUACGAAGGGGGCUAGCGUUGCUCGGAAUUACUGGGCGUAAAGGGCGCGUAGGCGGAUAUUUAAGUCGGGGGUGAAAGCCCGGGGCUCAACCUCGGAAUAGCCUUCGAUACUGGAUAUCUUGAGUACGGGAGAGGUGUGUGGAACUCCGAGUGUAGAGGUGAAAUUCGUAGAUAUUCGGAAGAACACCAGUGGCGAAGGCGACACACUGGCCCGUUACUGACGCUGAGGCGCGAAAGCGUGGGGAGCAAA
rnacentral:rRNA from 1 species